rnacentral:tRNA from 1 species
UAGAUUGAAGUCCGCUGGCUGGGGCUUUUAGUUGUUAAUUAAAAAUUUACGGGAUCGAGGCCCGUCAAUCUAGG